rnacentral:rRNA from 1 species
CCUACGGGUGGCAGCAGUGGGGAAUAUUGGGCAAUGGGCGUAAGCCUGACCCAGCAACGCCGCGUGAAGGAAGAAGGCUGUCGGGUUGUAAACUUCUUUUGUCAGGGAAGAGUAGAAGACGGUACCUGACGAAUAAGCCACGGCUAACUACGUGCCAGCAGCCGCGGUAAUACGUAGGUGGCAGGCGUUGUACGGAUUUACUGGGUGUAAAGGGCGUGUAGCCGGGUUGACAAGUCAGAUGUGAAAUCCUGCGGCUUAACCGCAGAACUGCAUUUGAAACUGUUGAUCUUGAGUACUGGUGAGGCAGACGGAAGUCCUAGUGUAGCGGUGAAAUGCGUAGAUAUUAGGAGGAACACCAGUGGCGAAGGCGGUCUGCUGGACAGCAACUGACGGUGAGGCGCGAAAGCGUGGGGAGCAAACAGGAUUAGAUACCCCUGUAGUC